rnacentral:rRNA from 1 species
GACGAACGCUGGCGGCGUGCUUAACACAUGCAAGUCGAACGGAAAGGCCCUGCUUUUGUGGGGUGCUCGAGUGGCGAACGGGUGAGUAACACGUGAGUAACCUGCCCUUGACUUUGGGAUAACUUCAGGAAACUGGGGCUAAUACCGGAUAGGUGCUCCUGCUGCAUGGUGGGGUUUGGAAAGUUUCGGCUGUUGGGGAUGGACUCGCGGCUGAUCAGCUUGUUGGUUGGGUAGUGGCAUACCAAGGCUUUGACGGGUAGCCUGCCUGAGCGGGUGGCCGGGCACACUGGAACUGAGACACGGUCCAGACGCGUACGGGAGGCAGCAGUGGGGAAUAUUGGAGGAAGGGCGAAAGACUGAUGCAGCAAGGGCGCGUGCGUGAUGAAGGACUUCGGAUUGUAAAAUGCCGGUAUUCGGGAUGAAAACCUGUUUAGCAAGUGACGAAGGGUGAGAGGCUAUCAAGAGAAAAGAAGCAGGGUAACUACGUG